CUCACAGCUAUGUUUGAUGAAGAUUUUCUUGUUCCGAGGAUAUAUUUACAGAAAGACAAAUGUAAUUUUUCUAAACUUGAUUUAUCAGUAAAAUUAAGGGGUCUAUAUUUGUUUUGGAAAUAUUUGCACGUUUUUCUGCUCUAAAUUUUGAAACAUAAGUAUCCAUAUAAGUAAUUUCUGAAUUAUAAGUGGCUAUUGGUUUAACUAUAGAAUCAAAAAGACUGCAAGCUACUUUAACUGGCAGAUUAUUUAAGGAACCAGUAUAAGUUUUAAUGGCAAACAUCACUUUCCUUGCUUUAUUUACAAGCUCUUCAGAGCUAUGCAAUAAGUUUCCAUUUGAUUUCACAAGAAUUCCAAGAAAUGAAUACUCAGAGACAUUUG
rnacentral:lncRNA from 1 species